GGUUGUGGCUCGAUGGUAGAGCUCUUGCCUAGCAUGUGUGAGGCGCUGGGUUCGAUCCCCAGCACCA
rnacentral:tRNA from 1 species